UUCAACUGAAGAGUUUGAUCAUGGCUCAGAUUGAACGCUGGCGGCAGGCCUAACACAUGCAAGUCGAGCGGAAACGAUCCUAGCUUGCUAGGAGGCGUCGAGCGGCGGACGGGUGAGUAAUGCAUAGGAAUCUACCCAGUCGUGGGGGAUAACCUGAGGAAACUCAGGCUAAUACCGCAUACGUCCUACGGGAGAAAGCGGGGGCUCUUCGGACCUCGCGCGAUUGGAUGAGCCUAUGUCGGAUUAGCUAGUUGGUCAGGUA
rnacentral:rRNA from 1 species